rnacentral:rRNA from 1 species
UGGACAUACCUCUGGUGUACCAGUUGUCGUGCCAACGGCAUAGCUGGGUAGCUAUGUGUGGACGGGAUAAGUGCUGAAAGCAUCUAAGCAUGAAGCCCCCCUCAAGAUGAGAUUUCCCAACUUCGGUUAUAAGAUCCCUCAAAGAUGAUGAGGUUAAUAGGUUCGAGGUGGAAGCAUGGUGACAUGUGGAGCUGACGAAUACUAAUCGAUCGAAGACUUAAUCAAAA